rnacentral:rRNA from 1 species
UACGUAGGUGGCAAGCGUUGUCCGGAUUUCCUUUUCGUACAUGGAGCGUAGGCGGAUACUUAAGUGGGAUGUGAAAUACCUGGGCUUAACUUGGGUGCUGCAUUCCAAACUGGGUGUCUAGAGUGUUGGAGAGGAAAGUGGAAUUCCUAGUGUAGCGGUGAAAUGCGUAGAGAUUAGGAAGAACACCAGUGGCGAAGGCGACUUUCUGGACAAUAACUGACGCUGAGGCUCGAAAGCGUGGGGAGCAAACAGGAUUAGAUACCCUGGUAGUCCACGCCGUAAACGAUGGGUACUAGGUGUAGGAGGUAUCGACUCCUCCUGUGCCGCCGUUAACACAAUAAGUACCCCGCCUGGGGAGUACGGUCGCAAGAUUAAA